rnacentral:rRNA from 1 species
CCUACGGGUGGCAGCAGUGGGGAAUAUUGGGCAAUGGGCGCAAGCCUGACCCAGCAACGCCGCGUGAAGGAAGAAGGCCCUCGGGUUGUAAACUGCUUUUGUACCGGGGUAAAAUGCUCUACGAGUAGGGUUUUGAAAGUACGGUACGAAUAAGGCUCGGCUAACUCCGUGCCAGCAGCCGCGGUAAUACGGAGGAUCCGAGCGUUAUCCGGAUUCAUUGGGUUUAAAGGGUGCGUAGGUUGUUUUAUAAGUUAGCGGUGAAAUACCGAUGCUCAACAUCGGGGCUGCCGCUGAUACUGUAGGACUAGAGAUCGUAUGCAGCAGGCGGAAUGUGUAGUGUAGCGGUGAAAUGCAUAGAUAUUACACAGAACACCGAUUGCGAAGGCAGCUUGCUAGGCCGGAUCUGACACUGAUGCACGAAAGCGUGGGGAUCGAACAGGAUUAGAUACCCCUGUAGUC